AGAGUUUGAUCCUGGCUCAGGAUGAACGCUAGCUACAGGCUUAACACAUGCAAGUCGAGGGGAAACGAUAUUGAAAGCUUGCUUUCUUUAGGCGUCGACCGGCGAAUGGGUGAGUAACGCGUAUCCAACCUGCCCCUGAGUAAGGGAUAGCCCAUCGAAAGAUGGAUUAAUACCUUAUGGUUUCCUUUGAAGGCAUCGGAUUAGGAAUAAAGAUUUAUCGCUGAGGGAUGGGGAUGCGUCUGAUUAGCCUGUUGGCGGGGUAACGGCCCACCAAGGCAACGAUCAGUAGGGGUUCUGAGAGGGAGGUCCCCCACAUUGGUACUGAGACACGGACCAAACUCCUACGGGAGGCAGCAGUGAGGAAUAUUGGUCAAUGGGCGGAAGCCUGAACCAGCCAAGUAGCGUGCAGGAUGACUGCCCUAUGGGUUGUAAACUGCUUUUAUACGGGGAUAAAGUCAGAGUCGUGACUCUGUUUGCAGGUACCGUAUGAAUAAGGACCGGCUAAUUCCGUGCCAGCAGCCGCGGUAAUACGGAAGGUCCAGGCGUUAUCCGGAUUUAUUGGGUUUAAAGGGAGCGUAGGCCGGAGAUUAAGUGUGUUGUGAAAUUUAGGCGCUCAACGUCUGCACUGCAGCGCAUACUGGUUUCCUUGAGUACACACAACGUUGGCGGAAUUCGUCGUGUAGCGGUGAAGUGCUUANAUAUGACGGAAGAACUCCGAUUGCGAAGGCAGCUGACGGGAGUGUCACUGAACCUGAAGCUGGAAAGUGCGGGUAUCGAACAGGAUUAGAUACCCUGGUAGUCCGCCCGGUAACAGAUGGAUGCCCGCUAUUCGCUCGAGUGAGUGAGUGGCCAAGCGAAAGCAUUAAGCAUCCCACCUGGGGAGUACGCCGGCAACGGUGAAACUCAAAGGAAUUGACGGGGGCCCGCACAAGCGGAGGAACAUGUGGUUUAAUUCGAUGAUACGCGAGGAACCUUACCCGGGCUUGAAUUGCAGAUGAACGAUCCAGAGAUGGUGAGGCCCUUCGGGGCAUCUGUGAAGGUGCUGCAUGGUUGUCGUCAGCUCGUGCCGUGAGGUGUCGGCUUAAGUGCCAUAACGAGCGCAACCCCUGUUCUUAGUUGCCAUCAGGUAAUGCUGGGCACUGUGGGAAUACUGCCACCGUAAGGUGUGAGGAAGGUGGGGAUGACGUCAAAUCAGCACGGCCCUUACGUCCGGGGCUACACACGUGUUACAAUGGCCGGUACAGAGAGUUGGUCGUGCGCAAGUACGGUCUAAUCCAUAAAACCGGUCUCAGUUCGGACUGGGGUCUGCAACCCGACCCCACGAAGCUGGAUUCAGAGUAGUAAUCGACGCAUCAGCCAUGGCGCGGUGAAUACGUUGCCCGGGCCUUGUACACACCGCCCGUC
rnacentral:rRNA from 1 species